GACGAACGCUGGCGGCGUGCCUAACACAUGCAAGUCGAGCGAUGAAGCUUCUUCGGAAGUGGAUUAGCGGCGGACGGGUGAGUAACACGUGGGUAACCUGCCUCAUAGUGGGGAAUAGCCUCUCGAAAGGGAGAUUAAUACCGCAUAAGAUUGUAGUUCCGCAUGGAAUAGCAAUUAAAGGAUUUAUUCGCUAUGAGAUGGACCCGCGGCGCAUUAGCUAGUUGGUGAGGUAACGGCUCACCAAGGCGACGAUGCGUAGCCGACCUGAGAGGGUGGUCGGCCACAUUGGGACUGAGACACGGCCCAGACUCCUACGGGAGGCAGCAGUGGGGAAUAUUGCACAAUGGGGGAAACCCUGAUGCAGCAACGCCGCGUGAGUGAUGACGGCCUUCGGGUUGUAAAGCUCUGUCUUCAGGGACGAUAAUGACGGUACCUGAGGAGGAAGCCACGGCUAACUACGUGCCAGCAGCCGCCGUAA
rnacentral:rRNA from 1 species